rnacentral:misc_RNA from 1 species
GCUCUCGUCGAGCAAGAAAAGUAAAUCUUUCUCUCUCGCUCUUUCUGAAAAAGCUAAUCAGGGAGAUCUAGAUCAUUUUCUUCACUUGUCUUUUAGCUGGGGAUCUAGAUUUUAUAUUGUUGAGUCUUUGAUGUCUGCGUGUGUGUUCUGGUUUGGAUCCGAUUUAAUCAGAUUUGCUUUUUUUUUGUUGGACUACACUUCUACUCUGUGUGAUCUCGCUGUUGGACGUAGUAUUAAGCAGUGAUUUUGUUGGAUUAGCCCGAGUACUAGUAGAUUCAGUAGUUGCUCUUUUAAUUUGUUAUUUGUGCCAGAUCAAACUUCUAUGAUUUUUUUUUUGGUUUUUGUCUUUGUGUUCUCAUUUCCUCACAUUUUACUUGUUUCUUGACUGUUUUGACAUGAUCAUGCUGUUGUUUUGUAUAAUCGGAUGCUGAAAAUAAUUUUCUAUUGCAUUUGAAUUCUUAUUUCACUUUAAUUGAUGACAUUUGAAAUCUUACCUGGACUUAUGGAGCGCUUCAAAUCACUGAUCCAAGCUCCCUUCCAACGAUUGUUAUCGUAUAAGGCUUUAAUGAAAUAUAGAAUUCUAGGACUUCCAGUUUUCAUAUUAUGAACUACAGUAUUGCUGCCAUUACCUUUAAUAUCCCCAUAUAUGUUUGUUGAUU